GACAGAGGCCUCAAGCGUUAGGCGGAAUCACUGGGCUUAAAGCGUGUGUAGGCGGAUCGUUAAGUGUCUUGUGAAAUCCCACGGCUCACCCGUGGAACUGCUGGGCAUACUGGCGAUCUUGGGCCAACUAGGGGCAACUGGAACAAGCGGUGGAGCGGUGAAAUGCGUAGAUAUCGCUUGGAACGCCAAAGGUGAAAACAGGUUCCUGGGGUUGUGCCGACGCUGAGACACGAAAGCCAGGGGAGCAAACGGG
rnacentral:rRNA from 1 species